rnacentral:piRNA from 1 species
UCACAGUCGUACAGGCGAUGCCUGCUGU